rnacentral:lncRNA from 1 species
UUGAAAGUGUCAAACCACACCAGAUGGUUUAAAUAAAUUUGUUCUGAGGAGGGCCCCCAUCAGGGCUGAAACGUAAACACAAUAAAAAAGUGUUUUGAUGUCUGACCUUCAUAUCCAAGAAUAAUAUUAGUCAUUAAAACUUUCACUUCAAAACGCUCUCAAGAUGUUUGAUCACGUUUCGACCGAAACGUUAGCUAAACUGAUAAAGUAUUUAUCAGGACCGUUUAUAUCCACGAAGUUUGAAUUCUUCAAUAAUUCUACUCACUGUUCAACGAAAAAAAAAUGAUACAAACGAUUCUGAAUCGAUACCCGUCGGCCAAAUCCGAUUAUCUUUGAAAACAAAAAAAUUGGAUUUUCUAAAAAUAAAAAAA